UACGGGGGGAGCAAGCGUUGUUCGGAUUUACUGGGCGUAAAGGGCGCGUAGGCGGCGCCGCAAGUCGACUGUGAAAUCUCCGGGCUUAACCCGGAAAGGUCAGCCGAUACUGCGGGGCUAGAGUGCAGAAGGGGCAACUGGAAUCCUCGGUGUAGCGGUGAAAUGCGUAGAUAUCGAGAGGAACACCUGCGGCGAAGGCGGGUUGCUGGGCUGACACUGACGCUGAUGCGCGAAAGCUAGGGGAGCGAACGGG
rnacentral:rRNA from 1 species